rnacentral:rRNA from 1 species
UGAAACGCUGGCGGAAUGCUUUACACAUGCAAGUCGAAGGCGGUCAGCGCGGGGCAACCUGGCGGCGAGCGGCGGACGGGUGAGUAAUAUAUCGGAACGUGUCCAUUAAGUGGGAGGAUAGCCCUGGCGAAAGCCGGAUUAAUACCGCAUAGAGAUCUUUGGAUGAAAGUGGGGGACCUUCGGGCAUACCUCACGCUUAUGGAGCGGGCCGAUAUCUGAUUAGCUAGUUGGUAGGGUAAAGGCCUACCAAGGCGAUGAUCAGUAGCUGGUCUGAGAGGAUGAUCAGCCCACACUGGGAUAAUGAGACACGGCCCAGACUCCUACGGGAGGCAGCAGUGGGGAAUUUUGACAAUGGGGGCAACCCUGAUCCAGCCAUUCCGCGUGAGUGAAGAAGGCCUUCGGGUUGUAGAGCUCUUUCGGCAGGAACGAAACGGGUCUGGCUAAUAUCCGGAUCUACUGACGAGGUACCUGAAGAAGAAGCACCGGCUAACUACGUGCCAGCAGCCGCGGUAAUACGUAGGAGUGCGAGCGUUAAUCGGAAUUACUAGGGCGUAAAGCGUAGUGCCAGAGGCGGUUUGUUAAGACAGGUGUGAAAUCCCCGGGCUUAACCUGGGAAUAGGCGCUUGUUACCCGGCAGACUAGAGUACGUCAGAGGGGGGUGGAAUUCCACGUGUAGCAGUGAAAUGCGUAGAGAUGUGGAGGAACACCGAUGGCGAAGGCAGCCCCCUGGGAUGAUACUGACGCUCACUACACGAAAGCGUGGGGAGCAAACAGGAUUAGAUACCCUGGUAGUCCACGCCCUAAACGAUGUCAACUGGUUGUUGGGUGACUUGAUCACUUAGCAACGUAGCUAACGCGCGAAGUUGACCGCCUGGGGAGUACGGUCGCAAGAUUAAAACUCAAAGGAAUUGACCGGGGGCCCGCACACAGCGGUGGAUGAUGUGGAUUAAUUCGAUGCAACGCGAAAAACCUUACCUACCCUUGACAUGCCAGGAAUCCUGCAGAGAUGUGGGAGUGCCCGAAAGGGAACCUGGACACAGGUGCUGCAUGGCUGUCGUCAGCUCGUGUCGUGAGAUGUUGGGUUAAGUCCCGCAACGAGCGGCAACCCUUGUCCAUUAGUUGCUACAUUCAGUUGGGCACUCUAAUGAGACUGCCGGUGACAAACCGGUAGGAAGGUGGGGGAUGAAGGUCAAGUCAUCAUGGCCCUUACACCUGGGGCUACACACGUGCUACAAUGGCGGUACAGAUGGGCUAGCCAGACUCGCGAGGAGUCAGCUAAUCUCAGAAAAAGCCGAUCCGUAGUUCAGGAUUGCAGCUCUGCAACUCGGAGUGCAUGAAGGUGGAAUCGCUAGUAAUCGCAGAUACAGCAUGCUGCGGUGAAUACGUUCCCGGGCCUUGUACACACCGCCAGUCACAGCGCAUGGGAGUUGGUUUUAAACCCGAAGACGGUGCGUCUAACCGCAAGGAGGACAGCCUUCCACGGUAGGAUCAGCGACUGGGGCC